GUAGGGAGCAAGCGUUGUCCGGAAUUACUGGGUGUAAAGGGAGCGUAGGCGGGAAUGCAAGUUGGAAGUGAAAGGUAUGGGCUCAACCCAUGAACUGCUUUCAAAACUGUAUUUCUUGAGUGAAGUAGAGGCAGGCGGAAUUCCUAGUGUAGCGGUGAAAUGCGUAGAUAUUAGGAGGAACACCAGUGGCGAAGGCGGCCUGCUGGGCUUUAACUGACGCUGAGGCUCGAAAGCGUGGGUAGCAAA
rnacentral:rRNA from 1 species